UAAAGUAGGAAGCAAAAAUAUCACUGUUCAAUCCAUCAUCCGAAAAUGGAACGAGUAUGGCACAACUGCAAACCUACCAAGACAUGGCUGCUCACCUACACUGACAGCCCAGACAAGGAGAGUACUAAUUAGAGUAGCAGCCAAGAGCCCUAUGGUCACUCUGGAAGAGCUGCAGAGAUCCACAGCUCAGGUAGGAGAAUGUGUCC